rnacentral:rRNA from 1 species
AGUAAUGUAUGGGGAUCUGCCCGAUAGAGGGGGAUAACUACUGGAAACGGUGGCUAAUACCGCAUAAUGUCUACGGACCAAAGUAGGGGCUCUUCGGACCUUGCACUAUCGGAUGAACCCAUAUGGGAUUAGCUAGUAGGUGGGGUAAAGGCUCACCUAGGCGACGAUCUCUAGCUGGUCUGAGAGGAUGAUCAGCCACACUGGGACUGAGACACGGCCCAG